rnacentral:misc_RNA from 1 species
AAGUCGUAACAAGGUUUCCGUAGGUGAACCUGCGGAAGGAUCAUUAACACGUAUCCAACGUUAAAAACACCCCUGUGAACCCGUUAAACUUGCUCCUCAGGCCCUGCACGCCUAGCAAUCCCUGGUAAAUCAUUGUCUGGCCAGAUUUUGAGUCAGGGACUUCUGACGUGACGCGAAGAAUGUCUGGAAAAAUGGCAUCUGCGUGAGAUGAAGCUAUGGAAAGCGCUACAUGGAAUACGUAAGGAGCGACGCUGUAACGUUUGCUGUAGGCCCACACGGCCGGCAUCAUGGUGCCUGGACUUCUGUCCCACAGAUCGGUUAGAUCCCGGUCCUGAUGUCAAUUUAGCGAGGACUAAAAGCCUUGCACCAAAAACCGAACAACUGUUAACAAUGGAUAUCUUGGUUCUC